AAAAAAUAUGUUUCAAAGACAAUGUCAGAAAGGGCCCCUAGAUUCCUAUGUCUCAAAACCAUCAACAGAAGUAUUGCACUUCUAGUCUAACUGUACAAACACCUUUAAUAGGCUGAAACUUAACGUGUUGUAGCACAAAGAUGAAUUAUUCUCAAACAUACAAGCAAUCCUGAGGAUCACAAGAAGGAAGAUUUAAUUGUGCUUCCAUUACAAUUUACAAAAAACUCAAAAAAGUUAAACCAUGCCCACCACCAUAACAAAUAUCUGACAGCACACUGGAGGCCAGAACCCUAACAAACUAUACUACAAAAAAGCUGCCUCAAAUCCAUGUGAGGCUGCACAAACUUUUUAUUUAACCAUUACACUAACAUAUCAAUGCAAGCUAAGAUUUGGGCUCUCUCCAAUCCAUUUGACGCCAGAAAACUCUGAACUUUAUCCAUUUUAUAAGCCUGGGAUAUCUGUUACCGGAGGAGACCACUUGCUUUGCUCACUUU
rnacentral:misc_RNA from 1 species